AGCGAACGCCGGCGGCAGGCUUAACACAUGCAAGUCGAACGCCCCGCAAGGGGAGUGGCAGACGGGUGAGUAACACGUGGGAACGUACCCUUUGGUUCGGAAUAACUUGGGGGAACUCAAGCUAAUACCGGAUAAGCCCGUAUGGGGAAAGGUUUACUGCCGAAGGAUCGGCCCGCGUCUGAUUAGCUAGUUGGUGAGGUAAUGGCUCACCAAGGCGACGAUUAGUAGCUGGUCUGAGAGGAUGAUCAGCCACACUGGGACUGAGACACGGCCCAGACUCCUACGGGAGGCAGCAGUGGGGAAUAUUGGACAAUGGGGGCAACCCUGAUCCAGCCAUGCCGCGUGAGUGAUGAAGGCCUUAGGGUUGUAAAGCUCUUUUACCCGGGACGAUAAUGACUGUACCGGGAGAAUAAGCCCCGGCUAACUUCGUGCCAGCCGCCGCCGUAA
rnacentral:rRNA from 1 species